CACAAUUCCUCGGAGGAAAAGCAUCAAAAUGGCGGACACCGUGGGAUUUCUUCUAAUACUGUGAAAUGAGUAUAUCAGCAUGAUUAGAGGUAGGAAGGUGACUGAUCCUGUUGUACAGGGGACAACCUUAUCUUAUGACACAAAACCAGGACUGACAAAAGCUUGGGAUACAGUCAACAGAGCUAAGACUGAGUUACAUAAAGCAGAACAACGUCUCGAAGAAGUGGAGCGUCAUAGCGUACCAACGCAGCUGAACCAGACAGGGGAGACAAGUAUUACUGAUUACGGUGUCUUGGCAUGAACAGAGAUCAUAAUGAAACUUACAGUUUACCGGAUGAUU